rnacentral:tRNA from 1 species
GAGAGUGUAGCUCAGUUGGUUUAGAGCAUUACCUUGACAGGGUAGGGGUCGGGGGUUCGAAUCCCUCCACUCUCA